AAGACCGGACCCAUAUCCCUCUUAUGAUCGUGCCCUAGGCACGAUCGUGGAAGAAGAGGGGUGAAGGGGGUGAGGCAGCGGCGCUAGGGAGGUCGAUCACCAGAGGAGGCCGACCGUCGGGGAAGAUCGAUCACCGGAGAAGGGAGGUUCCAAGAUCCGACCGGUGGUUGAGGAAGCCAUAAAGCCUUCCCCUUCGGCGAAGACCUCUCCCACAAAUCCGGUGAAGCUCACGGAUUUCUCCACCGAUUCCUCGCCGAAAGGGCCGCCGGAACACCCCCACCGGACCGAGAGGAAGAGUCGGCGGUGCCAGGAGAUUUUGAUCAGGGGACUCAGCACCCCAGCACGUAGGUUGUGAUUCGGACCGUGUUUGAGUCAGUCUACAAUUUCUAGGCACUGGAUUCGUAGAAUCUGUCGGAUGGGACAAGAAGUGAGCUCGAUCUGGAGUCAGACUGCUAGAUAGUUAGAAGUCAAUUUAUCUUUUAUUUAUGGACAUUUGAAUUUAUGUAAUCAUUCAGUACAUUUUGGCUGGAUUUGAUUUGAAGUACAUUAAUCAUUGAUUUUGGUAUUUAUGGAAUUAUUGGAAUUGUUGUUUAUCUUAGGCCUUGCAUGAUCUUUAGGGCACUGCUCUAGGGAUCAUGCGGCCGGUCGCGUGCCGGACCCGGGUGAUGGGUUCGGGGCGUGACAAAACCUGACACCAGAGAGAGCCUCCAAGAAAAGCUUGGAAAGUAUUUAGGAGGGUGUGUUUUCUGUAACUGUUCAACUGAAUUUGUGGAUCACAUCUUUAUAAAUUUCCAAUUCUCUUAAAGUAUAUGGACUGUCAUCUGUCAGAAGACUGGAUGCUUCUUUUAUUUUAAAAGAGAGAACAGUUUACCGAACCAAGGGAAGGCUUGGUCCAACUCAUAUGAUAAAAUCAACAUUGAUGCCAAUUGAAAGCCAACAUCUUCAGGGUAAACUCUGGGAAUUUACAUGAGAAAAUAUGACAGUCCAAGAGUUGAUAAGCCAUCCUAUUGGUCGAAACAUGAUAAUUCCCUUCUUUAAUAGGAGAUUUCAACUUCACCUUGCAGUGAAUUAAGAGUCAAACCGAUCAAGAUACUCUUCAUCGGGAGUCAUAAUAGGUAUAUUUUGGAUAAAAAUAUAUUUAAUUAUUAUAAGAAUAUCUUUGAGAGAGAGAUCUUGAGAACUAUAUUGGCACACUUAUAUGGCCCUUAACAAGAGUUUUUUGAGAAUAAAGAAAGUUGUUCGAUAGAGAUAUUUUUAAAAUGGUUUUAUCUUAGACGAGGGGUAUUUUGAGAUCUAUAUUGACACGUUAAUACAGGCUCUAGGAUAUGGGUAUUUUGAGAGCCAAAAAAGCUUUAUGUGGUGAGGAUAUUACAAGAUAGUUAAAAAUUUUAAAUAUCAUGGGUAUCAAGGAAUAGGGGCAUUCUGAAAAUAAUUAAAGUUUUUACAUACUUGUUCCUAGGCUUAUGUGGUUUUUAGGGCUUUUAGGGUUAGGUAGGAUUUUAGGAUUUAGAAUUUUUUAGAAAGGAGGGAAAAGAUUGAUAGGGUCAGUCCGAUUCUUAACUUUUGACAAUGGUUUGGCUUGGCUUGGGCAAUGGGCGUACGCGCCCUCUGGCUGAAAUCGAAGGCAACUUCUAGGCCGCGCCAGCGCUACCGAUAGAACAAACCCCCCCCCGCCUCGGGCGAGUCCUCUGUCCUCCUGCCCAUCGCCAUCUCUUUCUUCCCCCGCCCCCCUGGAUCGAUAGAAUAACGACGAUCUCUGCACCAGAAAUCCCAAAUCGGUGAGAUUUUGAUCGCUUGUGGGAUCUUUUUACUUGAAAAUCGUCGAACUGGUUCUUUCCCCUCUCCAUCUCUACCUGAAUUCUUGUGAGAAAUUUGUAAUGGGCGUGAUUUGGCUCUAGGAAUUUCUUUCUUUCUAAUUAAUGAAAAAUUCGAUAGAAGAUUUCAAAAUUUCUGUUUUAAUCCUUUUUUUCGUGAACCAAUAUUGUUAUCUUUUCAUAUUUGUUUUUGGGGGUUGGGGGGGGGGGGGGCGGCGGGCGUGUUGAUGUUCAAUGAAUCAUUUGGACUUGAAUUCUGGGAUCCUUGAAUCAGAACUCGUAGAAUGGGAAUUAAUG